AUUGCUCUACUGUCCUCUGUAGCCAUAUAUUUACUUACAGUUUACUUUUCAUAUUUACUUGUAUCGUUUUACAAUGAAAGCAACCUUAAAUUUCACAGGAGGCCAACUUAUCUUUAUACUCCUCUGUGUACAAGAAGUCUUGGGUCAGACGGGAGAUCAAUGGCCAUCAAAGGAUGUGAAUUUGUCAGGAUCCAGUGACGACACAGCAGUUGUGGAGAAGUCAUUAAUCACAGGAACAGAGAGACUGAUGCAGAAGUUAUUUGCAAAGAAGAGCCAAGAUGAUUAGAAGAACUUGUGAAGAUGAUUGUCACACUGCUUCUCUCUUUGUAUUACUUUGAUUAUUCAGACCAAUGUAGUUUGAGAUACCAGAAAAGACAUGAUUUUAAUACCAAUGCAAUCCAGCAGUUGGUUAAAUAUGCAUUUAUUUAUUGAUAAUUUACAACCCAGAAUAAAUUCAAGUAACUGAAAGAUAUUUUCUAUCACAUGUGUGAAGCAGAGUAACAUCUAAACAUCCUGAAGAGUUGGUUUCAGCUUGGGUGAACAAAUGUACAUUGUGGCCAAAAGUGAAUCUAAGGAGAAAAAAUGUAUUGUCUUUGAAUUGUACAUAUAUAUAUAUAUAUAUAAUCUGUUGUCUUAUAUAUAUUCUGACAGCUGUAGUGUCUUUGUUAGUGAAAAUUAAAGAUUGCUUAGACUUCAGCUGGACUGGGCUACCUAAUGCAUGAGUCUAGUCUUCCUUUUAUAAAUUCUGAAUCAUCUAAGAAACUAUGCCACAUUAUGGCCUCAAAAGAACUUGCAAUAGUAAGAUAUAGAAUGCAAUUUUGUAUUGGAGAAAUUAAUUUUUCCUGGUAGAAUGUUUUCACCUACAUUGUUCAUGUAAAAUUUGUAAUAAACCCUGCAAACUACACCAGCAAAUGCAAUAGACUCCACCUUAUGGAGGAACGAUUGUGAUAAUAUAAAUAAAUAAAUAUAUUUGCAAAGAAAGAAAUAAAAAAA